GUACGCCCUCAGCCUUUUGGCUAAGAUCAAGUGUAGUAUCUGUUCGUAUCAGUUUAAUAAAAAUAAAUAAAUAAAAUCAGCGCCGCAAUUUCAAAACCAGUUCACGACAUGAUGUGUCUUUGGCAUCAGCACUCUGACACAUAUUAUAUAAUUAUUAUUAUUAUAUCUGUAAAAAUGGAAGAAGAUGCUUU